GACGAACGCUGGCGGCGUGCCUAAUACAUGCAAGUCGAGCGAAUUUACGAGAGCUUGCUCUCGUAAAUUAGUGGCGGACGGGUGAGUAACACGUGGGCAACCUGCCUAUAAGACUGGGAUAACUUCGGGAAACCGGAGCUAAUACCGGAUAAUUCACAUCUACUCAUGUAAAUGUGCUGAAAGACGGUUUCGGCUGUCACUUAUAGAUGGGCCCGCGGCGCAUUAGCUAGUUGGUGAGGUAACGGCUCACCAAGGCCACGAUGCGUAGCCGACCUGAGAGGGUGAUCGGCCACACUGGGACUGAGACACGGCCCAGACUCCGACGGGAGGCAGCAGUAGGGAAUCUUCCGCAAUGGACGAAAGUCUGACGGAGCAACGCCGCGUGAGUGAUGAAGGUUUUCGGAUCGUAAAACUCUGUUGUUAGGGAAGAACAAGUACCAGAGUAACUGCUGGUACCUUGACGGUACCUAACCAGAAAGCCACGGCUAACUACGUGCCAGCCGCCGCAGUAA
rnacentral:rRNA from 1 species